UCAUUAGAUACCCAGGUAGUCCACGCGGUAAACGAUGAAUGCUAGGUGUUGGCGGGAGCCGGUAAUACCCGAAGUCAGUAGUCCAACCCCGUGAGGACGCUGCCGAAGGUAGGAUUGGCGACUGGGGUGAAGUCGUAACAAGGUAUC
rnacentral:rRNA from 1 species